rnacentral:rRNA from 1 species
GACGAACGCUGGCGGCGUGCUUAACACAUGCAAGUCGAACGGAAAGGCCCUGCUUUUGUGGGGUGCUCGAGUGGCGAACGGGUGAGUAACACGUGAGUAACCUACCCUUGACUUUGGGAUAACUUCAGGAAACUGGGGCUAAUACCGGAUAGGAGCUCCUGCUGCAUGGUGGGGGUUGGAAAGUUUCGGCGGUUGGGGAUGGACUCGCGGCUUAUCAGCUUGUUGGUGGGGUAGUGGCUUACCAAGGCUUUGACGGGUAGCCGGCCUGAGAGGGUGACCGGCGACAUUGGGACUGCGAUACGGCCCAGACUCCUACGGGAGGCAGCAGUGGGGAAUAUUGCACAAUGGGCGGAAGCCUGAGGCAGCAACGCCGCGUGCGGGAUGACGGCCUUCGGGUUGUGAACCGCUUUCGCCUGUGACGAAGCGUGAGUGACGGUAAUGGGUAAAGAAGCACCGGCUAACUACGUG